ACAUUUGAAAAGAAUUCCGUUGCGUUGUUGGAGUUGCAGUUUAUUGAGCUCGAUCGAGAAGUGCGACGAAGAAGGCCGUUAAUAAUUCUUUUAAAGAAUACGGGUCAGAUAUGGACAACGACUUCGAAGACAUUUGCAGUAGGCUAAACAGGGAAAGAGAGGGAGAACCAAAACUCCCUGUCCUGGCAUCACACUUGAGGAGGAGAUGAAGUCAGUGAAUAUGACCUAGCCCGGGGGAGUUUCCAGAAGGCCCAGAACCGCCGGCCGCCAGGAGUGGAGGUCCUUCGUUGUUGCCCUACGUGCCAAGCGGCAUCAGGCAGUAGAUGCUGUAAGUGUACCCAGUCAUCUGGUUUCGUAACACCUUUUAUAGCGCUAUUGGAACCUGCUCCCUACCAGUAUAACAUCGAACAGAUUGGAAGAAUAAAGGCCAAUGGGAAGUGCCUUGUAUACCCCUACUUGCCGCACAGCAGUCCGUGGUUUAGCGCAAUCUAAACUUGACUAUUGUAGCUCUUCGUGCUUGAAUUAGGGUGAUCUGGACCGACUGCAGAUAGUACAGAAUGCUGCAUCUAUUGUGCCAUUUGCCAUACGCCCACUUCGCUGGCUGCAAGUCAAGGAAAGGAUAUACAUAAACAUCAGUGUCCGUCUACUGAUUUUCAAAGUCAAUGACAGGGGUCCAGAUUACAUGUAUUAAAAGGAAUGCCUUGUGCGUCAUUUUCAUUCUAGGCGCACUUGCCUUUUUAUUUUUGUGAUCCUUAGUCUACGAUGCACCUACAAAUUAGCUACUGGUGAUGCAACUUUCUCCACUACUGCUCCAAGGCCAUGGAAUUAGCUCCACCCUCUCCUCCAAUUUUCAACAACCUUGGAUCAAUAUACUUUGAGAAGACCUACCACAUUCCUGAUCAUCUUUGCUCUGGACUUGGAACAACACUGUCACUGCCUGGUAAUUUAAUUUUUUUUAAUCUCAUGUGCUGACUAGGAUGGCAUCUGAAAGUGCUUUGUAUCUCACAAAUAAUGUGUUGUGUAAAAGAGAACAGGCAUUGAGGUCAAGCAUAAGGGUAACCAUGGAUAUGGCCUUUGAUUACUUUUUAACAAAAACUGAAAAAUUCAUCAAAAUAGGACAAGGGGUAAUAAAGUAAUGUAUGGCAUUCUAAGCUCUGCAUUAUUUUGGUGAAAGACCUCUAAGCAUGUGCAAGUAGCAGGCUGAUGAUGUCAUACAGACGUACACGUACAUGUAUCCCAAACGUAUGAUUUUGUAUAUAUAAAAUUGUGUAUUUAAAUUGGAUUGUAAACUGCAUUGAUGUGACUUACCUGUAUUGAUUAUUGCUGGAAGUUUUUUUGCUACAUGGGAUUGGAAGACAUACUUAUUACACACAUGAAAUAUUAUUUCAUCUGGUAACAGAACAAUAAAAAUGUGGGCAUGAUAUCAUAAACUUAUCUACUUGCAUGUGUUAAUGACCAAUAUUUUUGUAAUUAUUUUUUAUCUGAUUUUGAUAAAAUUUUCACUAUUUUGCAUGGUAAAAAUUACUUUAUUUAUCAUAGAUAUAAUUGUUGAGCCCGAAUCAUAUACAAGUACCCCUUUAAAGAUAAAUUACCAGUUGUAGUAACAAUCUUCAAAUGAGUUCGAACAUAAUCAAAUAAAAUUACUAGCAAAGUGUUUGUAUGUAACAGAUACGUGCCAAAUAGCUCAGGAGAAAAUGCGUAAUUGCUGAGAAAUGAGCAAAAUAAGCAUGUAAAUCUAUCAAAUGUCAGGUAUUUUUCAAAUCAAUUAUAAUACACUGUCCUGUCUCACAUAUGUUUUUCUGUGUUAGUGAUCAUCAGAAUUAUUGAUUUUAAGUUCAAAAUUCAUGAUUUUACAAAGAUACAAGUUUACAUUAAUGUACCAGAUCUAGAUCAUGUACAAUAUUUUGACAAUUAACCUUAAUUUAAAAGACUUUCUCAAGAAAUAAUUGUUUGCUGCAUUUACCCCUAAGUGAUAAUGUAAUACAUGUACAAUCACAAACUUUUCAUAAGAAUUAAUGUACAUGUAUGAUUCUUUCACCCAAAUGCAAGCUUCCAUAAAUCCUGAAAUCAUGGUAUUUUUUUUUUACAUACAGUAUAUUUUUACCUACAUUACAUAGUUCUCUAAAGUUGAAGGUAGAUUUAAUUACAAUUUCAACAAAAAAGCUAUAUUCUUCGAGAUCAUUAUUAUUCAUAAUGCCUCUGUUAUGUAUUAAUGUGUAUCUAUGUAUUGGUAUAACAAACAUUGUAAUUAUUUCAUUCCUUUGACCCUAAUACUGCAUUUUCAUAGAAAAGUGUUUUUUUUUAAAUCUAUUUAGAGUUUUUAAACUUUUUCUUUUCUUUUUUUUUGCUGGUAAUAUCAUGUUAUGCAACUUUUAUUUAUUAAUAGAAUAUUUGUCAUGAUUUCCUAAUUGAAAUGCGUACUUGUAUUUGAUUUCGUUUUCCAUUUUUGUAUAUAUUCUUUUUCUGGGGGGGGGGGGGGUCAUGUUCUUGAGACUGUGUCGAGUUAUGCAAGCCCUGGCAUGGAGGAUCAUUAUAUUGUUACUGGGAAUGUUGGACAUUGUCAGACCACCUCAGUAUUCACCAACAAUAGAUAAUCCUCAAUGACAAGGUCUUUGAAGUGGUGUGUGUACAUUACAUGUAGAAUUUAAUUUAAAUGUUUAUGUCAUCACGUCAGAAUACGUUAAAAUACCAUAGUUGACUCCAAAAGACGUCAUAUUCAUUUCAAUAUGCGACUUCAAUAUGACGUCUAUUACUAGUCAGCAAUAUGUUUCAAAGUCGUCAUUCAGACGUCGUAGUUGACUUAUAAAGACGUCAUAAUUACAGCAAUAUGACGUCUGAAACUGGUCAGGAAUAGGUUACAAAGUUGUCAUUAAGACGUCGUAGUUGACUUUUAAAGACGUCAUAAUUACAUCAAUAUGACGUCUAAAACCGGUCAGGAAUAGGUUGCACGGACGUCAUUACGACGUCGUAGUCGACUCUCGAAGACGUCAUAAUCACGUCAAUACACGACGUCAAGCUGACCCUUGAUACUGGUCAGGAAAACGUUGUAAAAACGUUGCAAAGACGUCAUUAAGACGUCGUAGUCAAUCUUGGAGACGUCAUAAUGACGUCAAUAUACGACGUCAUAAUGACGUUAUUCGCGGGUGCAAGAUCCCGUCAAUAAGACGUCAUGUUACGACGUCAAAAUGACGUGACACUCGUCGUUAAACUGACGUAAUUAUGACGUCAUUUUUACCAGUUUCUGCUAUCAGGGUAUGUCUUCCAGUUUCAAUGGGUAGAUUAUGGGAACUUAUUCUGAAUCGACAGAUGUUUUUCCGUAUUUUCUGAUUUUUAACAGUUAAUAGAUAUUUCUCUGUUUGUAUAUUCAGUUUAAAAACUUAAGUUCUCAAUUUAUUUUGUUCAACAUCAUUUGCUCGAUCAUUACGUAAAUCCAAUAAGAACUGGAGAUUGAAAAUAUCUUCAACUUUGUUUUUUAUUUCUUCUUCUAAUACUCUAUCACUAUCGAUUAUCUCACCUAGUUCUAAACAAUUCUUAUUCACAUCCAAAUAUAUGUUAAAUCCCUUAAGAAGGUACAUGUAUAUGUGCAUGUCCGUAAUAGAUGGGAGCGGGUGUGUGUUGGAAAGUGUAUACCUUUUUAAAAGAAGGGAAAGUUCUCCCUGAAGAAAAGUUUGUUGU